AGCUAACCAACGAGAUGAGGAUGGUCAUUGUCAUUUUCUGAGCUGCGAACGGGCAGAAAGCUAACCAACGAGAUGAGGAUGGUCAUUGUCAUGUUCUAAGCUGCGAACGGGCAGAAAGCUACAUAACGAGAUGAGGAUGGUCAUUGUCAUUUUCUGAGCUGCGAACGGGCAGAAAG